GACGAACGCUGGCGGCGUGCUUAACACAUGCAAGUCGAACGGAAAGGCCCUGCUUUUGUGGGGUGCUCGAGUGGCGAACGGGUGAGUAACACGUGAGUAACCUGCCCUUGACUUUGGGAUAACUUCAGGAAACUGGGGCUAAUACCGGAUAGGAGCUCCUGCUGCAUGGUGGGGGUUGGAAAGUUUCGGCGGUUGGGGAUGGACUCGCGGCUUAUCAGCUUGUUGGUGGGGUAGUGGCUUACCAAGGCUUUGACGGGUAGCCGGCCUGAGAGGGUGACCGGCCACAUUGGGACUGAGAUACGGCCAAGACUCCUACGGGAGGCAGCAGUGGGGAAUAUUGCACAAUGGGCGGAAGCCUGAUGCAGCAACGCCGCGUGCGGGAUGACGGCCUUCGGGUUGUAAACCGCUUUCGCCUGUGACGAAGCGUGAGUGACGGUAAUGGGUAAAGGAGCACCGGCUAACUACGUG
rnacentral:rRNA from 1 species